rnacentral:rRNA from 1 species
AUUGAACGCUGGCGGAAUGCUUUACACAUGCAAGUCGAACGGCAGCAUAGGUGCUUGCACCUGAUGGCGAGUGGCGAACGGGUGAGUAAUACAUCGGAACGUGCCCAGUCGUGGGGGAUAACGUAGCGAAAGUUACGCUAAUACCGCAUACGAUCUAAGGAUGAAAGCGGGGGACCGUAAGGCCUCGCGCGAUUGGAGCGGCCGAUGUCAGAUUAGGUAGUUGGUGAGGUAAAGGCUAACCAAGCCGACGAUCUGUAGCUGGUCUGAGAGGACGACCGGCCACACUGGGACUGAGACACGGCCCAGACUCCUACGGGAGGCAGCAGUGGGGAAUUUUGGACAAUGGACGCAAGUCUGAUCCAGCCAUUCCGCGUGCAGGACGAAGGCCUUCGGGUUGUAAACUGCUUUUGUACGGAACGAAAAAGCUCUUACUAAUACUAGGAGUCCAUGACGGUACCGUAAGAAUAAGCACCGGCUAACUACGUGCCAGCAGCCGCCGUAA